rnacentral:rRNA from 1 species
GACGAACGCUGGCGGCGUGCUUAACACAUGCAAGUCGAACGGAAAGGCCCUGCUCUUGUGGGGUGCUCGAGUGGCGAACGGGUGAGUAACACGUGAGUAACCUGCCCUUGAAUUUGGGAUAACUUCAGGAAACUGGGGCUAAUACCGGGUAGGAGCUCCUGCUGCAUGGGGGGGGUUGGAAAGUUUCGGCGGUUGGGGAUGGUCUCGCGGCUUAUCAGCUUGUUGGUGGGGUAGUGGCUUACCAAGGCUUUGACGGGUAGGCGGCCUGGGAGGGUGACCGGCCACAUUGGGACUGAGGUACGGCCCAGACUCCUACGGGCGGCAGCAGUGGGGAAUCUUGCACAAUGGGCGGAAGCCUGAUGCAGCAACGCCGCGUGCGGGAUGACGGCCUUCGGGUUGUAAACCGCUUUCGCCGGUGCCGAAGCGUGAGUGACGGUAAUGGGUAAAGAAGCACCGGCUAACUACGUG